rnacentral:rRNA from 1 species
AGUGAACGCUGGCGGCGUGCCUAAUACAUGCAAGUCGAACGGAGUGGCGCAAGGGGGAGUAAUGUAUAGCUAAUCUGCCCUACACUAGAGGGCAACAGUUGGGAACAACUGCUCAUACUCUAUAGUGUAGGAUGAGGCGAUAUGGUAUCAGCUAGUUGGUGAGGCAAUGGCUCACCAAGGCUAUGACGCAUAACUGGUCUGAGAGGAUGAUCAGUGACACGGGCACUGAGACACGGUACAGACUCCUCCGGGAGGCAGCAGUAGGGAAUAUUGCUACACCGGGGAAACCCUGAAGCAGCAACGCCGCUUGGAGGAUGACACUUUUCGGAGCGUAAACUCCUUUUGUUAGGGAAGCGGUACCUAACGAAUAAGCACCGGCUAACUCCGUGCCAGCAGCCGCGGUAAUUC